rnacentral:rRNA from 1 species
GACGAACGCUGGCGGCGUGCUUCAUGCAUGCAAGUCGAACGAGGUCCAUCCGGUAGCAAUACCGGUGAAGACCGAGUGGCGAACGGGUGAGUAACACGUGAGCAACCUGCCCCGAAGACUGGGAUAACACCGAGAAAUCGGUGCUAAUACCGGAUAUCCCCAAGUGAUCGCAUGGUCGUUUGAGGAAAUGGAUUCCGCUUCGGGAGGGGCUCGCGGGCUAUCAGCNGUUGGUGGGGUAACGGCCUACCAAGGCGACGACGGCUAGCUGGUCUGAGAGGACGACCAGCCACACUGGGACUGAGACACGGCCCAGACUCCUACGGGAGGCAGCAG